AGUGUAAGGAAUUGAUAAUAAGAAACACUGUGGCCUGGUGGGCACAAUAGGUAUUUGCAGUGCAUUCUGGGAAACUCUUCUUCACAUAAAGGUACCUUGUGUCACUGGGUCUAAUUUUUCUCAAUCUUCUGUAUGGCUGGCAAUAUUCUGCCUAAGUACCUCCUUUUCAAGAUGUCUGUGACUACUGAGAACAUGCAGGUGUCAAGUCCCCACCAACAUUCUCUCACCUCUAAAUGUCCUAAAUCUUAUGUGCUGCAAAGGCUACAAGGGCCAAGUUUUGAGUCCUUACCAAUCAACUAAACCCUAAAUCUUAUGUGCUGCAAAGACUACAAGGGCCAAGUUUUAAGUCCUUACCAAUCAACUAAACCUGCCAACCUCCACAAGCCUCAGCUUUCUCAGCUGGGAAAUGGGUGUGGUUAUUUCACUUAUAGAAAAAAUAUAAGUAAACUUGAAUGAUGAGCAGUAAGAGACAGAACAAUGUUCCCAAGUGAGCUAUGGCUCCUGUGUCUCCCAUGUACUUGUGCCUGUAGUAGCCUAACUAGUAUUCCCAACUGACCUUAGCUAUAAUGUGCCAGUAAAACCAGACUUAUGCUUUCUUACCUAUCUUGAAUGGUUUCCUAAGAAGCUCACAUGUGUGAAGAUACUGCUGAAAACUACAUCUGUCUUUCCUCGCUUACCAGUGAUGUUAUCAGACUGACUCUUGACAGUUCUUUUCUAGAACACAGGUUCUUGGUGGCUGCUCCAUGCACCCCAAGAGCUUCCAUGUACCCCAGGAGCCCCCAUGUACUCUAGGAGCCUGCAUAUCCCCCAGGAGUCCAACCCCUGUCAGAAGAACCAAAAGCCAGGCUCUAUCUUUAUAUGCAAGGAAGAGGCCUUAAGAGCUCACCUCUUUCCCAACAACUUGGUUGUGAAGGACAAAAAUGGAGAAGUAUAAGAGAGUAUUGAUGGCUUUGGCAAGGUGGGGUUGUUAAAAAAACAAAACAAAACAGGGCAUUAUGAUUGUGCAACCACACAAACACACACACAAAUGCAUGCACGCAUACAUAUAUACAUAUAUAUAAAGAAGACAAUCAUUUAGCCCAGUGCUUGGUCCAGGAACAAAACUUGAAUAACAUUCUAGAUUCCUGCCAUGGAACUUUGUCACAUUACCUCUCUUUGUCUCUGUUUCCUCAAAUCCUGAAACACAAGACAACUAGUAAGAGCUAGUUUAAAGCUUGUAAUGGGGUCACCAUGAUUAGCUGUGAGUAAACAUUUUAGAAUGCAAUUGGUGAGAGGCAAAUGCUAUACAAUGCUUUUUGGUGAUGCCACCAAGAGAGGUAGAGUCAUUAUCAGAAGUCAUAGUAAUAACAAAAGUGUACUUUCCUGCUUGGGUAAGCCAAUGGGUAAACUGGAACAAGAGUCAUGAUCCUGCUUCCUACAGGAUUACCUUUGCAUCAUAAAUACUAGUUAGCUCCAACAUGGCUGCAAUCACCCCAUUUGAGGUUCUCUGACUCCCGGAAGUAUUAAAUACACUCCAAGACCUGACUCCAUGUUCCCUCUGUGCUUGGUUGGCUCUUUUGUCUUUUCCAAUACAAAGACAAAAAUGAGAGAAGAUUCCAGUCCCAUGAUCUUUCUCCAUUAGAUAGAACAGCAGGGCCAUUUGCAUGAACCACCUACCAACCAUUUUGUCAAGUCUAUCCAUGUCUACCGAGCAUCUAUCUAUAAAGGGUUGGGCACCAUUUUUGCUCUGGACAUCUGAUGAACAGGAAGGAAAGCCUGUGCUUGCUAAGAGAGAACAGAGAUGAGGGGAGGUGACAAUAGGAAAGAGUCAAGUGUGACAAAGGACAGACACCGAGAUGAGGGAGAAGGUUGGCUGACAGGAAAAGGCACUAGAAUUGGAGCAGAUAGAGAAGGUAAACUCAGAAAACUAUGAGCAGGACUUAGCCAAUGAGAAGGAAAAUGGAAGUUCUAUAAGCUCUGAGAGCCUCCUCUGCCCUGCUCCCAUUGUUCUUUUGAAAACAGCCAAGAGCAGGAGCAUUGAAGGAAAUUCUUUUCAUAUAUGCCUGUGCAAAUGAAGGCCUUGACUCUGAACUGGGUCCUAGUUGGUUAAAGGUGACCAGAGGCUCUCUUGCUUGGUCACUGAGCAUUUCAAGGACCCAGCAGUGGGUUUAAUUAGAGCAGGAUCGUGGCUGUGGGCGACAUUCCUUCCUGUGCUUGUUAAAACAGUCAAAUGAUUGCACACGGAUUGGCAAAUAGGUUAUUUUGCCGCCUCAUCCCAUUCCCCCGUCAGCCAAUUAUCUCUCCCCUGACACUUUCUCUACACUCCCCCUGACACUACAAUACAAUAGCUAAUCCCUUUCGGUGUCGAGUCUGCCUUCUCAUGGAGUGUGCUUAACACUCAUGCAGUUGGUGACUGUUCAGAGUGUCACUCUCAGCCAGCCAUAGUGGGAGCACACACACUGUCUUGGAGGUGUCACACUUCUUGUCUUGAUGUCUGAGAGGGGUUUGUGAUAAGAGGUUAUUUGAGCUGGGCACUGAAGGAUGGGUGGGAUUUAUCGAUUUGAAAUGACUCACGUAGAGAAAGGAAUGGGAUGCCCUACGUGGCAGAUGCCACCACAUAAUUUGCAUAAUUAUUCCCCCUGCCCUCCCCUCCCUGUUUCUUAAAGGUAUGCAUCAUUAUCAUCCCCAUUUUGCAGAUGGAGAAAGUGAGGCUCUGGGAACACAAUGACCUAGUAAGGUAACACAAGUAGGAAGGAAGGGAGAUGGCAGAGAGCAGACAUUGGGGAUGCUGGUGGCCCCCGGUGCUUAGCAGAAGUCUUUCCGUUUCUGUUAUGUGGUCUUUCUCCAUCAAACUUCAUAACUGCAAAGGAAAUCUAGAAAAAAGACUGGAUCCGAACCAUGGAGAAGCCAAGCCACCUCUUCCCCCACUACUUGUACUGUAACCAGGGCCAAAGGCAGUCCUAUAUGGACCACAUGUUACACAGAUGCCAACACAUGAAAGGAGAAUGUGACGUCUGUCAAAGAAAGUUUCAUGUGCUUUGUAAAGAGUAUAUGAAAUCAAAAUGCAGGCUUUGGAGCAGAUCUGAGUUCUGGAGUCCCUGACUUCCUGUAACAUCUUGGAUGACACCACUAACGAAUGUCCUCUAAGCACCUAUGACCAUGUGCCGGAUGCUAGCAUAGAUGGCUGACCCGUGACACUGCCUCGUGCUUUUAUCAUAGCUCUUCGAUAGACACAGUAUGCCCUUUAUAGAAUAAGGAUGCUGUGGCCUAGAGAGACAAAAAGUGGCUCCUCAUUGUAGAAACUCAGAUCUGAAGCCAGAGAGCAGGAGAACCGUGUGCUUACCCAUGUAAAUGCCAUCUGUAACUUGGAGUAAUUAUGUUAACGUGAUGGAUAUGAUGACGGUGUGAGACAGGUAUCUAUUCACUUUAAGGUCAGGAGAGGCAGCUCAAUCGGUUACCCCAAACCUAGGUUUGGAUACCCAGCACCCACAUAAAAGCCAAGCACAAUGGUGUGAACCUGUGACUCCAGAACAGGGGGAGGAGGAGGAGGAGGAGACAGUAGGGUCACUAGGGCUUCUUCCCAGACAGUCUUGCUAACCUGCUGACCUCCAGAUUCAUUGGGAGACCCUAUCUCAAAAAAAAAAAUUAAACAAUUAACUAACAAGGUAGAGGGUGAUUAUUAAGGGAGUUACCUAGCAUUGAAAAUGUAAAUGAGGAAAAUACCUAAUUUUAAAAAAUGC
rnacentral:lncRNA from 1 species